rnacentral:lncRNA from 1 species
AGGGAUUGUUCAUAUAUCAUUUAUAUCUAAUUUUAAUUGAAAUAAAUCAGAUUAAAAAGAUAGAAGAUUAUUAUGAGAAAAGGAUCUACCUUUUAAAGAUAAUUGGAUUCCUAUUAUGUGUCAGGGUAGUGCCUAUAUAAAGGGUAUGUCUCUAUGGUUUCUAGGUAAUUGAUUUUUUGUGAAAAAUCUCUCUGUCCCUUUUCCACACCUCCUCUCCUCCCUCUCUUCUCUUCCACACCCA